rnacentral:rRNA from 1 species
AUUGAACGCUGGCGGCAGGCCUACACAUGCAAGUCGGGCGGAGCGGCGGAUGGGGGAGUAAUGACUAGGAAUUUGCCUGGUAGUGGGGGAUAACGUCAGGAAACGGGCGCUCAUACCGCAUACUAUCGGAUGAGCCUAGGUCGGAUUAGCUAGUGGGUGGGGUAAAGGCCUACCAGGGCGACGAUCCGUAACUGGUCUGAGAGGAUGACCGGUCACACUGGAACUGAGACACGGUCCGGACUCCUACGGGAGGAAGAAGGGGGGAAUAUUGGACAAUGGGCGAAAGCCUGAGCCAGCCAUGCCGGGGGUGUGAAGAAGGUCUUCGGAUUGUAAAGCACUUUAAGUUGGGAGGCGUUACCAGCAUAAUAAGCAACGGCUAACUUCGUGCCAGCAGCCGCGGUAAUUC